GAUGAACGCUGGCGGCGUGCUUAACACAUGCAAGUCGAACGAUGAAGCCCACUUGUGGGUGGAUUAGUGGCGAACGGGUGAGUAACACGUGAGUAACCUGCCCUUGACUCUGGGAUAAGCCUGGGAAACUGGGUCUAAUACCGGAUAUGACCUUCCAUCGCAUGGUGGUUGGUGGAAAGCUUUUGUGGUUUUGGAUGGACUCGCGGCCUAUCAGCUUGUUGGUGGGGUAAUGGCCUACCAAGGCGACGACGGGUAGCCGGCCUGAGAGGGUGACCGGCCACACUGGGACUGAGACACGGCCCAGACUCCUACGGGAGGCAGCAGUGGGGAAUAUUGCACAAUGGGCGGAAGCCUGAUGCAGCGACGCCGCGUGAGGGAUGACGGCCUUCGGGUUGUAAACCUCUUUCAGUAGGGAAGAAGCGUAAGUGACGGUACCUGCAGAAGAAGCGCCGGCUAACUACGUGCCAGCAGCCGCCGUAACAC
rnacentral:rRNA from 1 species